UAGGCGAGGCGAGCCGGGAGUUUCUCGUAAAUAUACGCGUAUUUGACGCGCUUAUCUGUAAUCGUGUGCGUGUAAAGUGCGCGUGUAUCCGCGUAUGCGUGACGCGGCUAAUCCCCAGCCAUUUCCUCCUUCGCGCGCGUAACACGCGGACUCUUCGUCGCUCCUGGAGUCUCUUUGCUCACUUUCGAUCGGACUCGCGGCUCGAUCGCCGCCUUCGUCCUGCUCAAACGUUGCCGCAUUUGCUGAACCGCUUUUUUAUUUUCAUUUGU